CUGCGGCAGCUACACAUGCAAGUCGAGCGGAAACGAUGGAGCUUGCUCCAGGCGUCGAGCGGCGGACGGGUGAGUAAUGCAUAGGAAUCUGCCCGGUAGUGGGGGAUAACCUGGGGAAACCCAGGCUAAUACCGCAUACGUCCUACGGGAGAAAGCAGGGGAUCUUCGGACCUUGCGCUAUCGGAUGAGCCUAUGUCGGAUUAGCUUGUUGGUGAGGUAAUGGCUCACCAAGGCGACGAUCCGUAGCUGGUCUGAGAGGAUGAUCAGCCACAUCGGGACUGAGACACGGCCCGAACUCCUACGGGAGGCAGCAGUGGGGAAUAUUGGACAAUGGGCGAAAGCCUGAUCCAGCCAUGCCGCGUGUGUGAAGAAGGCUUUCGGGUUGUAAAGCACUUUCAGUGAGGAAGAAGGCCUUGGGGCUAAUACCCCCGAGGAAGGACAUCACUCACAGAAGAAGCACCGGCUAACUCCGUGCCAGCAGCCGCGGUAAUACGGAGGGUGCGAGCGUUAAUCGGAAUUACUGGGCGUAAAGCGCGCGUAGGCGGCGUGAUAAGCCGGUUGUGAAAGCCCCGGGCUCAACCUGGGAACGGCAUCCGGAACUGUCAGG
rnacentral:rRNA from 1 species